UCUUCCUGCAGAGAAGACAGGGGCCAGGGAGGCAUUUCAAGCCCGGCUGGAAACGGUGAUAGAACCUGAGGCUGCCCGGGCUGGGGAGCUAUCACAGUCGUCGCGCCAGCAAGAUUCCUGCCCGAGCCACCAGAGGUCCCAGGUUCAAUCGGCUAAAGCUGAGCAGUACCCAGCCAAUAGAUUAAAGGGACAGCGUGCGUGGAGCAAGCCCAGCUGGUGCGUGAUACUGGAGAGACGCUUCCCAUGGGGACAGAAGCACCAGCUGCAGGCAGGAGCCCAUGUUCACCCCCGAAGCCAACAGAACAUAGGCGACCGACCGCGGGACCAACCAACCUCGGACUCUUGCUUCUCCUCACUAGUCUAGAGGGAGGAGCACUUCCUUCCUGUCCCAGGGGCCACCGAGGGCCCUCUCUUCACUACGUCACUAGAGCCAGUCCCCGCGCGCGGCUUCAAGAGGGGCAGAGCCCCAGAAACAGCCACUUCUCCUGUCCAACCACUUUCUUAACCUUUCUCUUUUUAAAGAAGUUUUUAUUAUUUAUUUCCCCUUUGGUUGCUCUUGUUGUUUUUCAUUGUUGUUGUGGUUAUUAUUAUUGUUACUGAUGUCAUCGUUGUUGGAUAGGACAGAGAGAAAUGGAGAGAGGAGGGGAAGACAGAGAGGGGGAGAGAAAGACAGACACCUGCAGACCUGCUUCACCGCCUGUGAAGCGAUGCCCCUGCAGGUGGGGAGCCGGGGGCUCGAACCGGGAUCCUUACGCCGGUCCUUGUGCUUUGUGCCACACGUGCUUAACCCACUGCGCUACUGCCCGACCCCCAGGCCUUUCUCAUUAUUUCAGAAUGUGACUAUCAUCUAGCGACCAUGGCCAAGACGCAACCUGGAGACUGGAGAGGACAGAGCUGUGGCGGGGCAGGAAAGGGGCUCUCCCAGUGGCAGCCGGCGCCAGGCUGUGCAGCGAGUCUUUCCCGAGCCCCUUCGUGCCCUCGCUGCCCUCCGCCCCGACCUGGCGGCUCUGAAGGGGCUCUGGCCUCCCCCCAGCAGCACUCUCCUGAGCUGGACAACAGCGGGGGCCACGGGAGGCCAGGCCAGGCCAGGCAGCCAGGGUCCUCACUGUUACUAUUGACGACAUCAAUAACAACUACAACCACAAUGAAAAACAAGGGCAGCAAAAGGGAAAAAUCAAUCAAUCAUAAAAAAAGAGGGGUCUUUGGCACUUGCUCUCCAGCUCAGCAGCCCCCCAGCACAGAUGACAAGCAACGUCUGUGCGGGCUGUUAUCACAGCAGAAGCUGCCACAGUCCAGCGGCCACCGCCAGGUCAAACGCGCCGCAGCACAGGCUGGUGCCCGCGUUGGCUCCGGUGCUGCUGUGCGGCUGCCCACCUGUCCUGUUCACCCCUCACACCUGUGACAUCGAUGGUACAGAAUAAACACUACCUUUCAACCA